UGGGGAAUUUUGGACAAUGGGCGAAAGCCUGAUCCAGCAAUGCCGCGUGUGUGAAGAAGGCCUUCGGGUUGUAAAGCACUUUUGUCCGGAAAGAAAUCCUUGGCUCUAAUACAGUCGGGGGAUGACGGUACCGGAAGAAUAAGCACCGGCUAACUACGUGCCAGCAGCCGCGGUAAUACGUAGGGUGCAAGCGUUAAUCGGAAUUACUGGGCGUAAAGCGUGCGCAGGCGGUUUGCUAAGACCGAUGUGAAAUCCCCGGGCUCAACCUGGGAACUGCAUUGGUGACUGGCAGACUAGAGUAUGGCAGAGGGGGGUAGAAUUCCACGUGUAGCAGUGAAAUGCGUAGAGAUGUGGAGGAAUACCGAUGGCGAAGGCAGCCCCCUGGGCCAAUACUGACGCUCAUGCACGAAAGCGUGGGGAGCAAACAGGAUUAGAUGCCCUGGUAGUCCACGCCCUAAACGAUGUCAACUAGUUGUUGGGGAUUCAUUUCCUUAGUAACGUAGCUAACGCGUGAAGUUGACCGCCUGGGGAGUACGGUCGCAAGAUUAAAACUCAAAUGAAUUGACGGGGUCAUAGCUG
rnacentral:rRNA from 1 species